rnacentral:rRNA from 1 species
UACAGAGGUCCCGAGCGUUGUCCGGAUUCACUGGGCGUAAAGGGUGCGUAGGUGGCAUGGAAAGUUUGAUGUGAAAGCUCAGGGCUUAACCCUGAAAUGGCAUUGAAUACUGCCGUGCUGGAGGUUUGGAGGGGGGACUGGAAUUCUUGGUGUAGCAGUGAAAUGCGUAGAUAUCAAGAGGAACACCAGUGGCGAAGGCGAGUCCCUGGACAACACCUGACACUGAGGCACGAAAGCUAGGGGAGCAAACAGG